GUGUGCAGCCAGUCCCAGUUACCAACCUGGGUAUCCAUGGGGAAUAGGGCUGACAGGAGCUCCUGCUGUGAUUGCCGUGGAGGAAGCUGGAUGUAUGAGCUUCUCCAGAGCCAGUCAAGGGGACUGCAGGUGAGAUGGAGCAGGAGCAACUCCGAAGAGCCUGCAGGUUCCCAUGAAACACAAACUGCCCUGAAGAACCUAGUCUUUAGGGUGGAAAUAGUGACACGAAGUGGCGGCGAAUCCCACCGGGCUUUUGGUUCACAAGUCGCAGCUCUGCCUGCCGUGUGCCAGACAAGAGGAAACCCAGCAACCUGUUGGGAACCUCGGCCGCUCGGGGCGGAAAGGAGAGGAGGAGAAGCCUCCCGCUGCAUUGUCUGGGGCGCUGCCUCCGUUUCCGCCGGCUGAGCUCCAGCCCUUGUUUUGCAGCACGCCGCGUGGAGUUUUAUCACCUUCAACAAUGAAAUCUGUCACCUUCAAGCUGCUUUAUUGUAAUCUGGGGACUUUCGCCCUGUCCGCUGUAACCCUGCUCCGGGCUCCUACCCCGCAGGGCUGCAUUCCCCACCACGCCAUCGCUAACAUCUAUCGAUUAGGCUCCUUGCUGAAACCAACGGUGUUAACUUUAGGGGCCGCAUUUGUACUUGUUUUCUCGCCGGGAUCAGAUAGUUAAUUGAUCUUCCUCGUCCUCUUUGCCUUGCUUCUGUCUUGCGUGCCUCUGAAGCCUCUUAUUCCGAUGGCUGCCUCACCUUCCCCUCCCCGCCCCCCUCCAAUGUGGAGGAUAAAAGCCGAUCAGACAUGCAGUACAGGCAGUAUUCAGCAGGUUUCCUGAUCUGAUAUUUGAAAGAAUGCAAGGUACAAAUACAGGUUUUGAACUAUGAGACCUUCCUGUUGCAUCGGUUACACACGUCUGAAUCAGAUUAACCGGCAUAUCUCAUCUCUGAAAAAAACAAUUUAAUGAUUAAACUCAGGGAAGGGUACUUCUUCAGCAGAUACAGCUUGGAUGUUACCACUCUUGGAGUGUGUUGUGUGCGGUUUUUUCCUGGUUUGCAAACAAUUUUCGCUUGCUGUUUUUCUAUGGCUUUUAUUGUAGAUGCAUUUUUAUUUUAGGGGUUAAGUCAUUUUCAUUUGAAAUGCACUUAUGUACAUUUGCAUACACAUUUAUACAGGCUAAUUAAAAACUUACCAUCAGAG